rnacentral:rRNA from 1 species
GAUGAACGCUGGCGGCGUGCCUAAUACAUGCAAGUCGAGCGAACGGACGAGAAGCUUGCUUUUCUGAUGUUAGCGGCGGACGGGUGAGUAACACGUGGAUAACCUACCUAUAAGACUGGGAUAACUUCGGGAAACCGGAGCUAAUACGGAUAAUAUUUUGAACCGCAUGGUUCAAAAGUGAAAGACGGUCUUGCUGUCACUUAUAGAUGGAUCCGCGCUGCAUUAGCUAGUUGGUAAGGUAACGGCUUACCAAGGCAACGAUGCAUAGCCGACCUGAGAGGGUGAUCGGCCACACUGGAACUGAGACACGGUCCAGACUCCUACGGGAGGCAGCAGUAGGGAAUCUUCCGCAAUGGGCGAAAGCCUGACGGAGCAACGCCGCGUGAGUGAUGAAGGUCUUCGGAUCGUAAAACUCUGUUAUUAGGGAAGAACAUAUGUGUAAGUAACUGUGCACAUCUUGACGGUACCUAAUCAGAAAGCCACGGCUAACUACGUG